AACGAACGCUGGCGGCAUGCCUAACACAUGCAAGUCGAACGAGACCUUCGGGUCUAGUGGCGCACGGGUGCGUAACGCGUGGGAACCUGCCCUUAGGUUCGGAAUAACUCCCCGAAAGGGGUGCUAAUACCGGAUAAUGUCUUCGGACCAAAGAUUUAUCGCCUUUGGAUGGGCCCGCGUUGGAUUAGCUAGUUGGUAGGGUAAAAGCCUACCAAGGCGACGAUCCAUAGCUGGUCUGAGAGGAUGAUCAGCCACACUGGGACUGAGACACGGCCCAGACUCCUACGGGAGGCAGCAGUGGGGAAUAUUGGACAAUGGGCGAAAGCCUGAUCCAGCAAUGCCGCGUGAGUGAUGAAGGCCUUAGGGUUGUAAAGCUCUUUUACCCGGGAUGAUAAUGACAGUACCGGGAGAAUAAGGUCCGGCUAACUCCGUG
rnacentral:rRNA from 1 species